rnacentral:tRNA from 1 species
UCUCUGGUGGCUCAGACAGUAAAGAGUCUGCCUGCAAUGCAGGAGACCCAGGUUCGAUCCCUGGGUUGGGAA